rnacentral:rRNA from 1 species
AGCUAGGAUGUUGGCUUAGAAGCAGCCAUCAUUUAAAGAAAGCGUAAUAGCUCACUAGUCGAGUCGGCCUGCGCGGAAGAUGUAACGGGGCUCAAAUAUAGCACCGAAGCUGCGGCAUCAGAAUUUAUUCUGUUGGGUAGGGGAGCGUUGUGUAAGCGGAUGAAGGUGGCUCGAGAGGGUUGCUGGACGUAUCACAAGUGCGAAUGCUGACAUAAGUAACGAUAAAACGAGUGAAAAACUCGUUCGCCGGAAGACCAAGGGUUCCUGUCCAACGUUAAUCGGGGCAGGGUGAGUCGGCCCCUAAGGCGAGGCUGAAAAGCGUAGUCGAUGGGAAACGGGUUAAUAUUCCCGUACUUGGAUAAACUGCGAUGUGGGGACGGAGAAGGUUAGGUUAGCAGACUGUUGGAUGUCUGUUUAAGGUGGUAGGUGGAAGACUUAGGCAAAUCCGGGUCUUUAUAAACACUGAGAGCUGAUGACGAGGUCUUAAGGGACUGAAGUAACUGAUACCCUGCUUCCAGGAAAAGCCACUAAGCUUCAGGUUUAUCUAAACCGUACUGAAAACCGACACAGGUGGUCAGGUAGAGAAUACUCAGGCGCUUGAGAGAACUCGGGUGAAGGAACUAGGCAAAAUAGCACCGUAACUUCGGGAGAAGGUGCGCUUACAGUAAUUGUAGUCCCUCGCGGAUGAAGGUGAAGUAAGUCGAAGAUACCAGCUGGCUGCAACUGUUUAUUAAAAACACAGCACUCUGCAAACACGAAAGUGGACGUAUAGGGUGUGAUGCCUGCCCGGUGCUGGAAGGUUAAUUGAUGGUGUUAUCGAAAGAGAAGCUCCUGAUCGAAGCCCCAGUAAACGGCGGCCGUAACUAUAACGGUCCUAAGGUAGCGAAAUUCCUUGUCGGGUAAGUUCCGACCUGCACGAAUGGCAUAAUGAUGGCCAGGCUGUCUCCACCCGAGACUCAGUGAAAUUGAAAUCGCCGUGAAGAUGCGGUGUACCCGCGGCUAGACGGAAAGACCCCGUGAACCUUUACUAUAGCUUGACACUGAACAUUGAAUUUUGAUGUGUAGGAUAGGUGGGAGCCUUUGAAGCAGUGACGCCAGUCAUUGUGGAGGCGACCUUGAAAUACCACCCUUUAACGUUUGAUGUUCUAACGAAGUGCCUGAAACGGGUACUCGGACAGUGUCUGGUGGGUAGUUUGACUGGGGCGGUCUCCUCCCAAAGCGUAACGGAGGAGCACGAAGGUUUGCUAAUGACGGUCGGACAUCGUCAGGUUAGUGCAAUGGUAUAAGCAAGCUUAACUGCGAGACAGACAAGUCGAGCAGGUGCGAAAGCAGGUCAUAGUGAUCCGGUGGUUCUGAAUGGAAGGGCCAUCGCUCAACGGAUAAAAGGUACUCCGGGGAUAACAGGCUGAUACCGCCCAAGAGUUCAUAUCGACGGCGGUGUUUGGCACCUCGAUGUCGGCUCAUCACAUCCUGGGGCUGAAGUAGGUCCCAAGGGUAUGGCUGUUCGCCAUUUAAAGUGGUACGCGAGCUGGGUUUAGAACGUCGUGAGACAGUUCGGUCCCUAUCUGCCGUGGGCGUUGGAUGAUUGAUUGGGGCUGCUCCUAGUACGAGAGGACCGGAGUGGACGCAUCACUGGUGUUCCAGUUGUCUCGCCAGAGGCAUUGCUGGGUAGCUAAAUGCGGAAGAGAUAAGUGCUGAAAGCAUCUAAGCACGAAACUUGCCAAGAGAUGAGUCAUCCCUGACUUUAAGUCAGUAAGGGUUGUUGU